rnacentral:lncRNA from 1 species
GGAGAGGAGUGCCCUCAGGCCUCCCUGAUGUCAGAACCAUCUGCACAGGCUAAACAGAGAUCGAUUCUUGGACCUUGUCCCUGUAUCAGAGUCUCAGGGCCUGAGCCAUGAGGAUUCAGCAUCUCCAAGAUGUUCAGCCUGAGUGAGUUCGCAAACAGGAGUUUGCCGACUUGAGGCUCGGUGCCAGCCCAUCUCUUGGAAAGCAAGCUGCCAAGCUGUGCUACAGCGCCUUUGCAUGGCCACCCCACAGGCUUUUCCAGAAUUCUGCUCCAGGAGCUCAGCUCUUUCGACCUUUCCUGGGACUCAAGGGAGAAAAUGCCCAUGAGGAAGAUGGACUCAUCUUGAGGAAGAUGCCCAUGCUGCAGACGUGGAGACAUGUGAGAUAGAUGAGGCCGGCACACUCCCCACAUCCUGGAGAAAGGCGGGAACUCACCAAAUCCCAACCCCUUAGCCUUUCGGAUCCCGCAGUCGGGCCUGAGGUGCAGAGCUGGGCUUGAGGCAGGGGCUUUGCUAAGAGCUGCAGGAGGGCCGAGGCCCGGGAGGUGUGUCCUUGCCUGCCACGCACAUUAUUUUGCUGGUGUUACUGCAUUGCCCAGAGGAAUGAGAAUUAGAAAUGUGAAUGUGUGCAAAGAAACACUGGGGGGAAGAAAGACUUUGGGGAAAAUCUUCUCCCAACUCAAAAAAUCCCCCUGAAUCUCUCCAUUUCUUUCUCUAAACACAAUUCUUUAUUAUUUUAUGUUGUGCACACUAUUCAUGUUUACUAUUGAAACAUUUUUUAACCUAUGAAUUUGUUUAUUUCACCUUGUGUCUUCUAGUCAGUAAUAAGACACUUGUAGAAAUC